rnacentral:rRNA from 1 species
CGGGGCUACUGCUCUGUAAUUGGCAUGGGGGCGACCUUCACCCUCGCCCGAGUACCCAUUGGAGGGCAAGUCUGGUGCCAGCAGCCGCGGUAAUUCCAGCUCCAAUAGCGUAUAUUAAACUUGUUGCAGUUAAAAAGCUCGUAGUUGAAUCUCACGUCCCCCGCAGUGUCCUUCACUCGCCGGGACGCCUCGUUACUUUGAGAAAAUUAGAGUGUUUCAAGCAGGUUUCGCCUGUAUAAUUGAGCAUGGAAUAACCUUGUAUGACCCUGUCGUACCGUUGGUUGACUUUGGGUAAUGGUUAAUAGGAACGGUUGGGGGCAUUCGUACUCGACUGUCAGAGGUGAAAUUCUUAGAUUUGUCGAUGACGCACGACUGCGAAAGCAUUUGCCAAGGACGCUUCCAUUAAUCAAGAAC